CCUACGGGUGGCAGCAGUGAGGAAUAUUGGUCAAUGGCCGGAAGGCUGAACCAGCCAUGCCGCGUGAAGGUCAGUGCCCUAUGGGCGUUAAACCUCUUUUAUGCGGGGAUAAAGGUGUCCACGUGUGGAUGUUUGCAGGUACCGCAUGAAUAAGGACCGGCUAAUUCCGUGCCAGCAGCCGCGGUAAUACGGAAGGUCCGGGCGUUAUCCGGAUUUAUUGGGUUUAAAGGGAGCGUAGGCCGGUCUUUAAGCGUGCCGUGAAAUUUUGUGGCUCAACCAUGAGAGUGCGGCGCGAACUGGAGGCCUGGAGUGCGCGGAAGGCAGGCGGAAUUCGUGGUGUAGCGGUGAAAUGCUUAGAUAUCACGAAGAACCCCGAUUGCGAAGGCAGCCUGCCGCAGCGUUACUGACGCUGAAGCUCGAAAGCGCGGGUAUCGAACAGGAUUAGAUACCCUUGUAGUC
rnacentral:rRNA from 1 species